UAAGAAUGCAAUUAAUUACUCCGGCAGCCCAGCCAGACCAGCAGUCAGCGGUGCUCUCACUUGCAGCUUCUGGCUCUGCAGGCAUUUGUAGCUCAUGAGAAAAGAGCAGGCGCUUGAUGCUACAAAUAAUAAUAGACUGCUGAUGACAGAGACACAGGAGUUUUGUGAUUUUAUGAGAUGGCAAGGAGGAAAUAACCUUCUGCGGUAGAAGCCCCAUGGAUUGCCAGGCAUUAGGAGACUUCAGCCUCAACGCAGGAGAAACCCCAAAACAUAAUCAGCAAGAAUUGUCACUGACCUACUCCUGGCUGUGGGUCCUGACAGGAGAGAUCUUGGCAAGAGCGAGGCCCUACAUUACUGCUCAGCUCAUAGGAAAUGUAGUUAUAGAGUGAGUGUGUGUGUGUGUGUGUGCGCGCAGAACCACGUGUUGUGCCAGUAACAAGUAUGAUUUUUGCUUUCUGAACACCACGCCUCUGAAAUUUCCAGGAAGCUGCUCUUUGCUGCUGACAGUUGCUACAGAGGCGACUGCAGCAGUGAGAUGGUUUUUGUUCAUGCCUUCUUGUCUUCAUUAAUUUCCAGUCUGUCAUUUCAGCUGAAACUAUACAGUUGCUGUUAAUGUGUUCAAAACCAUGAUGUUGGCUAGGCGGCUAUUUAUGUCACAAUAAAUAUUUGAUGAGAAGGUGUGUUAUUUUUAGCCACAAACACAACAUAUUUUUGGGAUUUAUAGGCCUGAAAUAUAUCAUCCAACACACGAUCGUUUAUUACCUUUACAGUUUCCUGAGGGUUUUUUUCCAUUUUCCUUUGUAAUUUGAACUGGAGAGGUGGUGAUUCAGAGAGUGUUGGUAUGAACUGUUGCACAUAAGCUGCAUAGGAAGGGGAAAUGUCAAGCCUCAAAUAAUGGGUCCCAUGCUGGUGGGGGACACUGCAACAACUGAAGCAAUAAACCCAGAAAGGCUGUGUAAAUAUGUGAAUGUACAAAUGUAUCUCAAAGCCGUGAUUUUCAUAUUCCAGCAAUCACUGCCGUAGGAGUACGUGACUGACAGCACAAAGGACUUAGAUUUACGAUAGAGAGAUCUAAAUUGAUAAGCCGGUAGACAGCCAUCAUUCUUCCUUUAUUCUCUCUCUGUAUCCUGUGUCGUCUUCUGCUGGCAUAAUCAAAGCUGACAUAGCGCAUGCUAUACCAGGUUAUAUUUUUCGUAAUUAUAAGACAGUACAUGAGAUCUGAGGGUGUUAUUCAGGAAAUGGCACAAAGCUCACUGAAAUACAGGUUUUCAGAGUGAUCCCCUGAUAAUAUUGUUUUUCACAUAGAUUCUUGAUACUUGGACUCUACGACUAUGUCUUUAAGCUGUCUGGGUGCUUUAAGAAGGGAUAAAGACAGUGGAAAAAAUGAGGGAGCUUUUCCUUUUCGCAGGAAAAUGUACCAAAUGGGAGAUAAUAGUUUCUAAAAAAGUGUGUGUGUGAGAGAGACCUAACUUCGGAGGAAGAGGUAAAAGAAGUCAGGACACCAAAACAGAGAUCAUCUGGAAAGUCCUAAAAGAGCAAUCAGCCUCCCCCUUAGCACUGACUGGUGUGGCACACUUGUGUCUUGAGACUGAAGGGUCCUUUUCCACUGAUCCCAUCACAUUAGGCUCAGCUGCCUCUGACUUUAACUGCAAUGUUAUUAGAGCUAAAGAGAACAGACUGUGAGAUACAAUAAAGUUAUAAUAGAUG